GAUCCUGGCUCAGGAUGAACGCUAGCGGCAGGCCUAACACAUGCAAGUCGAGGGGUAGAGGAAGCUUGCUUCCUUGAGACCGGCGCACGGGUGCGUAACGCGUAUGCAAUCUACCUUAUACAGGGGAAUAGCCCAGAGAAAUUUGGAUUAAUGCCCCAUAGUGUUAUUGAAUCGCAUGGUUUAAUAAUUAAAGUACCAACGGUAUAAGAUGGGCAUGCGUCCUAUUAGCUAGAUGGUGAGGUAACGGCUCACCAUGGCAACGAUAGGUAGGGGGCCUGAGAGGGUAGUCCCCCACACUGGUACUGAGACACGGACCAGACUCCUACGGGAGGCAGCAGUGAGGAAUAUUGGUCAAUGGGCGCAAGCCUGAACCAGCCAUGCCGCGUGAAGGAAGAAGGUUCUAUGGAUUGUAAACUUCUUUUAUUUAGGAAUAAACCUCCCGACGUGUCGGGAGCUGAAGGUACUAAAUGAAUAAGCACCGGCUAACUCCGUG
rnacentral:rRNA from 1 species